UCGGGAAUUUUGGGCAAUGGGCGAAAGCCUGACCCAGCAACGCCGCGUGAAGGAUGAAGUAUUUCGGUAUGUAAACUUCGAAAGAAUAGGAAGAAUAAAUGACGGUACUAUUUAUAAGGUCCGGCUAACUACGUGCCAGCAGCCGCGGUAAUACGUAGGGACCAAGCGUUGUUCGGAUUUACUGGGCGUAAAGGGCGCGUAGGCGGCAAUUCAAGUCAUCUGUGAAAUCUCCGGGCUUAACUCGGAACGGUCAGAUGAUACUGCUUUGCUAGAGUGCAGAAGGGGCAAUCGGAAUUCUUGGUGUAGCGGUGAAAUGUGUAGAUAUCAAGAGGAACACCAAAGGCGAAGGCAAUGCACUGGUACGUUCCUGACGCUCAAACACGAAAGCCAGGGUAGCGAAGAGGAUUAGAUACCCUCGUAGUCCCUGAGCGGGCUGGCAAGGCGCAU
rnacentral:rRNA from 1 species